UAAAUUAGCAUCCAGCUUUUUAUGUGGGC
rnacentral:piRNA from 1 species